rnacentral:rRNA from 1 species
UACGGAGGGGGCUAGCGUUGUUCGGAAUUACUGGGCGUAAAGCGCACGUAGGCGGCUUUGCAAGUUAGAGGUGAAAGCCCGGGGCUCAACUCCGGAAUUGCCUUUAAAACUGCAUCGCUAGAAUUGUGGAGAGGUAAGUGGAAUUCCGAGUGUAGAGGUGAAAUUCGUAGAUAUUCGGAAGAACACCAGUGACGAAGGCGACUUACUGGACACAUAUUGACGCUGAGGUGCGAAAGCGUGGGGAGCAAACGGG